rnacentral:piRNA from 1 species
UAGUAGAUGUGUAUUUUGCCCUUCAUGUG